GGCUUAGUACUUUAAGCUAAAAGACUUGAUUUGCAUUCAAAAAAUAAAUCUUUAGGAUUUUUAAGCCA
rnacentral:tRNA from 2 species